UACAGAGGUGGCUAGCGUUGUUCGGAAUUACUGGGCGUAAAGGGCGCGUAGGCGGGAUGGCAAGUCGGUCGUGAAAUCCCUCGGCUCAACUGAGGUACGUCGAUCGAUACUGCCGUUCUUGAGGGUUGCAGAGGAGACUGGAAUUCCCGGUGUAGCGGUGAAAUGUGUAGAGAUCGGGAGGAACGCCGGUGGCGAAGGCGGGUCUCUGGGCAACUCCUGACGCUGAGGCGCGAAAGCGUGGGGAGCAAACGGG
rnacentral:rRNA from 1 species